AUUUACAAAUUUAUUUUUCCGACUGUCAAAACAAAAUUCUGAGUGAGAGCACCGGACCUAAUAAAAAUUUUUACUGUAAUAAGAAUUUUAUGCGUUAGAGCGAGUAAGUGGAAAUGAAGCAAAAUUUGACAGCUUUGAUCACAGAGGCUGUGACUUUAGCAAAAGUUUGACAUCUUUGAUCACAGUAGGCUGUAAAUAAAAGCGUUAAUUUUGCAAAAACAUUUGAAGAUUGCCGAAACACUGCGAUUUAAUCAUAUAAUUAAGAUUUGCGAUUUUUCAUUCUAAAUUUAUCUUCGACCCUGCUACCACGGAACAUCAACGCCACCUCCAGUCAGGCACCACACCAGAAUAUCCACCACCUUUAUCGCCGCCACCAAUAAACAGCGCUGCAUACAUUAUUCGGUAAGUUUUCAUGCGACGAAUAAACGUUGCUUCUGCUGCAACUGCCUACAUUAAUCAUGUUCCUGGUGCUUCCCGAUUUGCACAUUUCAAAAGAAAAGCUGUUUUUGCAAUUAAUAAACCUUAUGGCGUACAGAAAGAGCUUCCUCUAAAAACCUGCGAAGCGUGAAGUACCUGGAACAGGCUUAUUUAGUGCGUUCCAGAACGUCUACGAUUUGCAGGUUUUGCAGGAUUUAGUCCAAAGUCGUUCCCGUACGCCACGUUCACAUAAGGCUUAUUAAAGGCAAAAACAGCUGUUCCGGUAAAACCUGCAAAUCCUGCAAAUCGUGAAGUACGGGAACAGGCUAAUUAUGUGCAAAUGUAAACAACAAAAGAAAGUGCAGUGUUUACAUAUGUAAAAAGUGUAGUAGGUCAGCCUUUGGAGGUUUUCCAAAACGAGUCAGUUCAACAAGUUGUAAAUUGGAAUUUCAUGGUUGUGCGCUUAAAAACUGAUAUGUUUUGGAAAACAGUCUUUCUUACGAUUAUGCGAUACCUUUUUAUGUGCAUAUAUUUUCAAAUUUAGGACUGGUGAAUGCGGACAUUCUGGAAGCCAUAGUUUACAAAGUGUAGUGCACAGUUCAACAACAGUGAUUGGGUUUGCUACUUCAUAGCAGCAGUGGAAAUGGAAACAUUGCUCUGCUAUUGCUACUUCUCUACUUGAAUGGAUAAGAAGCACGGCCAGAAUCGGAAAACACACGAGGACCUUUCUUGUUUUACUUGGUUCUAUGUUUCGUUGAGGCACAGAUCAGGUAGGAGAACUAAAAUAUGAACGAAGUGAUAUUUGUAGUCAGAGUAAUAGCACAUACAACAAUAUUAUGAUAGCCUCAACGAAACAUAGCACUAAUUAAAACAAGAAAGGCUUUCUUGUGUUUCCCGAUUCUGACACUGCUUCUCAUCUAUUCAAGUAGAGAAGUUGCAAUAGCAGAUCCACGUUUCCGUGCCACUGCUGCUAUGAAGUAGUGAACUCAACCACUGGUAGUUGUCAUAAUUCGCAGUAGUAACAGUUUAACAUGAAGGUAGAAUUUUUAUUUUUGGAUUCCUGAUACGAAUAAGUUUAUUUUAGUUCCGAUUCUGCAUAAUCUUUUUUUUUCCUUCUCUUGAAGCAAUGGAUUUGUCACCACUGUUCCUGGGAGAUACCGAAGCGCUCUCUCCACCACGCACGAGCAACACAGGUAUUUCGAAAAUAUACAUACAUAUACAUUUACAAUAUGUUUAAUAGUUUUUAAUCAAACA